ACUACGCUCUGAGCAGGCCGACAGUCAUAGACGAGUAGACCUUAGGCGAGGGAAGGCAUGUACUUUCCCUAAGAAGCGGGAGGAGAGAAAUAAAUAGAGGGCAGUGGGAUGAGAAGAACCUCGCGGGAUGGGAAGCCGCGGAGGGAAGGGCCGUCUUUGGUUACCUGGAGAGCGGGAGCAGCUGCGGAUCCCUUAUGAAGUGCCCGGAUGAAGCUCCAGCGCUCACGCGCUUUCCGCAUUGAGUGCAGCGCCAUCUUGAGAAGGGCGGAGCCGUCUUGUUUGGAAUGACGUCUGUUCAGAGAGCCAAUCCCAGUCUCGCGACUCCUGCUUGCUGGGCGCGGCUUGGGCCUCCAGGCUGCGCAGCGCAGCCGCUAUCGGGCGGACUGCAGUUCUUGCCGAGCAGUCGCAAUGAUUUGUAUGACAGCUGCUAGCCCAAGAGAGAGUUCCAGAAGAGGGCUACCUAACAGGUGCUGUGGCAUUUAGAAGAGGAAUGGAGCCAUUGUCAACGCACAGCUUGCAGGGGAGCAGGAGAGUCAGUCUAAGAAGGAAAUGUGAUGAUGGAAACAGAGGUUGGAAGAUGGAAGAGGACCCAGAGUCAAGGAAUGCAGGUAGAAAAGAAAAGCCUGGAUUCUCCCCUAAAGCCUCCAGAUGGAACACAGCCCUGCCUCCACCUUGAUUUCAGGACUUCUUACCCCAAGAAUCUAUCUAUACUGAAACUAGAGGUAACAUUGAGCCUGAGUUCCUUGUGAGCUGGUAGAAGAUGAAGGAAAUAAGAAAGGGUAAGGACCAAGCUUGUCAACACUGAUUUCAAGUCUCCAUUGCUUCUGCUGUGUACAUCUCUGCAACGUUCUCAAGGCACCUCUGGAGUUGUCCAGCACACAGAGAAUCUCUCCAGCCAUCCACAGCACCCCUCAAAGCCUAAGCUCAGGAAGUCAGCCACAGCCCACUCUGCAUGCCAGUGCAGACAGCUACCCAUGGAAGGACCUGUUUCAGAACUCACUUUAUUUCAUCAAUGAGCUUCAUUUCACUGACAAGCAAACAUGUCUAGGUCGGCCAUGAGUGAUUCUCUAGGGAGAGCUGAGUUACGGGAUGAUUCGCAAGUUUCUCAUACAUAUAUGAUAUAUAUGAUAUAUGUAUAUAUGAGAUAGAUAUAUAUAUAUAAUCUCACUUAAUUCUUGCAACCACCCUAUGAAGUAAACAUUAUUACUCUCUACAGACAAAAAAGUUCAAGGUGGUUAGGAGGUUUGCUGAAGGUCACAAGAAGUGGCAAAGCAGUAAGGCACAAUGCUGUCUAAUACUGAAGUCUUUCCACCUCACCGUAGGAUCUCUCAAAUAAUUAAUACUUACACUAAAAUGGGGGGCAUCAAACCUGGGCUCUGUGAUUUAAAGUCUGCUGCUUUCCUAAAUGAAAUUCUUCCACUAUAAAGUUAACUUUAUCCCUUCAUCCCCUAUACCAAGAUAAAUUCAUGGAUCAGAGAUUGGAAGAGUGAUUGUUCCUUGUAAGGCAUCUCUUAAAUUUAUGAUCCUAGUAACUGGGGACCUCCUGCUGGAUUAGCCUUGCAUCUUUCCUCGCUUCCAUCAUAGAGGCUAACAAGACUGUUGAUUCUUUCUUUCUAAUGUUUCCUGUGUUCACUCCUGUCUAUCCAGUCCCACUGUCACCACUCUCCUACAUUAUUUUAAUAGUCUCCUAAUUUCUUGCCUCCAAACUUUCCUUGUCUUUUCCCAUUCUAAAUCCUGCUGCUAGAUAAUCUUCUCAAAACAUCAUUUUGCAAUGUCAGCUCUCAUUCAGAAACCCUCCAUUGACACCAUGCAGCCAUUUAGGCUGAUAAUGGAAAAUAACAGUUAAUGACAUGAUAUGGAAAAAAUGUUCAGAGUAUGUUAUUAAGUGAAAAGAAAACAGAUUACAAAAUACAUAGAAUGUUAAUAUUGGUGAUCUGGGCCAGGUGCAGUGGCUCACGCUUGUAAUCCCGUCACUUUGGGAGGCUGAGGCGGGCUGAUCACCUGAGGUCAGGAGUUCGAGGCCAGCCUGGCCAACAUGGCGAAACCCCGUCUCUAUUAAAAAUACAAAAUUAGCUGGGCAUGGUGGUGUGCAGUAAACCCAGCUACUUGGGAGGCUGAGGCAGGAGAA
ensembl:lncRNA WARS2-AS1 WARS2 antisense RNA 1